GUGCUCUCCUGUCUCAGAGCAGCUAGUGGGAGCACGAUCAGGGCUGAAGACAAAGAGCCCCAAGUCACAGAACCAGCCAUCUGCCUCAGCAAAACCUGUUUACAGCCCUUGUCUCAAGAUGUACCUGCAAUGACUUGGUGGCACAGACAGGCUAGUCAUCAUCACAUCCAUUUUACAGUUUCGUGCCCGAGGCCUCACCUCCUCCUUACUGGGGGCCUGGAAUGAGAUCAGCGAAGAAAGCCGUUGGCAGACUUCAGCCUGCGGGAUCAGACGCCCCUCCAAAGCAGGGACUGCUUGUCCUCAUCCCUCCGCACUGGAGUCCGUCAGGACGGACAACCCAAGGCCCGGAAAGAGGCAACCUCUUACUCCAACACUUUCCAGGGAGGGAGACCACCAACUUGGAGGUGUGAGGCAUCAUGGGAAAACAAAAGCCCACCCACAAAACCUUGGCUUUGCUCCAGCAGUCGUGUGUGUUGAAAUGUUACUGGAUGGGACAUCAAAGGAUCUAGAGCUUACUCACUGUUCUGUUUGUGUGGCAAAAACAUUGGGCAAAUCACUUCCCAGAAUCGUAGGCUCCUAGAUUUAGAUCUGGAAGACACAAAGUCUUUAUUGAGUAAAAUCCCCUCAUUUUAUAGAUAUACUGACUGAAAAGGGCAGUGAAGUGUCUUGUCCAAGGUCCUAAGUAACAAGGUUGGGAUUUGAACCCAAGACUUCUGAAUUCAAAGACCUUCCUCUUCAAGACCGUGGUUUCCUACCCUGUAAAAUGAGGGUAUUAGACAU
rnacentral:lncRNA from 1 species